UGAAGGUAAAGGCGACUCCUUCAGAAGGUCCCACGCAUGCACUGCCGCGCUCAGUGCCCCCAGCCUGCAGCAGCCACCAUCGACCCACGCCUCCGCCAGGGACUCCUGGACACUCCUGGAUCCUGAUUCUGGGGUGAAACCUACCUGCGUACUUGAAGUCCAGCCCAACUCAGUGGGUCAGAAUCUGCCUUUUAAGAAAAUCCCCAGAGGACUCAUAUGCAUGUUAAGUUCGAGAAGGACUACCUGUAAAAACACACUCAAAUUUGGCUGAAGCUUAAGUGCUGGUCUGCAGAAGAAACACAGGAAACGCAGCAAGUCCCACCCCUGGGGACUAUAGGACGUGCCUACAGGAAGCCUCAUUCUCUCACCGUGAAUCAUCAUGAAUCCUUGUUUCAGUUGUGAAUAUAGCCUAAAGAUUCCACAGCUCUCCAGCACCUGCUAAAGACCUCUGCUAUCCCAAGUGCCUGUGCUAAGCCUGGCUCCAAAUUCAAGGUCAAGAUAAGUUAUGUGGUUCACGCUUUUGCUCAGUCC
ensembl:lncRNA